GGUGGCUCAGUGGUAGAGUACUUGCCUAAUAUGCAUGAAGCUCUGGGUUCGAUUCCUCAGUACCA
rnacentral:tRNA from 1 species